rnacentral:rRNA from 1 species
AUUGAACGCUGGCGGCAGGCCUAACACAUGCAAGUCGAGCGGAUGAAGGGAGCUUGCUCCUGGAUUCAGCGGCGGACGGGUGAGUAAUGCCUAGGAAUCUGCCUGGUAGUGGGGGAUAACGUCCGGAAACGGGCGCUAAUACCGCAUACGUCCUGAGGGAGAAAGUGGGGGAUCUUCGGACCUCACGCUAUCAGAUGAGCCUAGGUCGGAUUAGCUAGUUGGUGGGGUAAAGGCCUACCAAGGCGACGAUCCGUAACUGGUCUGAGAGGAUGAUCAGUCACACUGGAACUGAGACACGGUCCAGACUCCUACGGGAGGCAGCAGUGGGGAAUAUUGGACAAUGGGCGAAAGCCUGAUCCAGCCAUGCCGCGUGUGUGAAGAAGGUCUUCGGAUUGUAAAGCACUUUAAGUCGGGAGGAAGGGCAGUAAGUUAAUACCUUGCUGUUUUGACGUUACCAACAGAAUAAGCACCGGCUAACUUCGUG